ACAAGCGGCGGAGCAUGCGGAUUAAUUCGAUGCAACGCGAAGAACCUUACCAGGCCUUGACAUGCAGAGAACUUUCCAGAGAUGGAUUGGUGCCUUCGGGAACUCUGACACAGGUGCUGCAUGGCUGUCGUCAGCUCGUGUCGUGAGAUGUUGGGUUAAGUCCCGCAACGAGCGCAACCCUUGCCAUUAAUUGCCAUCAUUUAGUUGGGCACUUUAAUGGGACUGCCGGUGACAAACCGGAGGAAGGUGGGGAUGACGUCAAGUCCUCAUGGCCCUUAUGGCCAGGGCUUCACACGUAAUACAAUGGUCGGUACAGAGGGUUGCCAAGCCGCGAGGUGGAGCCAAUCCCAGAAAGCCGAUCGUAGUCCGGAUUGUAGUCUGCAACUCGACUACAUGAAGUCGGAAUCGCUAGUAAUCGCGGAUCAGCAUGUCCGCGGUCGAAUACGUUCCCGGGCCUU
rnacentral:rRNA from 1 species